UUUGCACUGCGACAUAUGUGACCUGGACCAAAUUCUGUGACACUGACAUAGUUUAAAACAUUGAAAGCAGAAAAAGAGGAGGAAUUCAUAACUCUUCGUCUUAUAUCUUAUCAUUUUGUGCGUGGACAACAUAUACAGCUUUGGGUAUGAAGACACCGUAAACCUGAAAAGUACUAAUACAUGAGAAUUAUUGGCACGGCAGGAAUUAUUGGUACAGAAGACAAAUACAAGAUGGAUGUCGAAAAGAUAGUAUCUAUUAUCCUGAUUCUGAUAGUGACACAAACAGCCGAAACAGCUGCAACAGCAACGCCAGUGGCAACAAAUACUUCCGUGCCAACAACAACUGCGGCACCUAUAACAACACCGGUGCCGACAACAACGCCAGCCCCUACAACAACU